rnacentral:rRNA from 1 species
UAAGCGGAGGAAAAGAAACUAACAAGGACUCCCCUAGUAACUGCGAGUGAAGCGGGAAAAGCUCAAAUUUAAAAUCUGGUGGUCUUUGGCCAUCCGAGUUGUAAUCUAGAGAAGCGUCUUCCGCGCUGGACCGUGCACAAGUCUCCUGGAAUGGAGCGUCGUAGAGGGUGAGAAUCCCGUCUUUGGCAUGGACACACCAGGGCUUUUGUGAUGCGCUCUCGAAGAGUCGAGUUGUUUGGGAAUGCAGCUCAAAAUGGGUGGUGAACUCCAUCUAAAGCUAAAUAUUGGCGAGAGACCGAUAGCGAACAAGUACCGUGAGGGAAAGAUGAAAAGCACUUUGGAAAGAGAGUGAAACAGUACGUGAAAUUGUUGAAAGGGAAACGCUUGAAGUCAGUCGCGUCGACCGAGACUCAGCCUCGCCUCGGCUUGGCGUACUUCUCGGCCCGACGGGUCAGCAUCAAUUUCGCCUCUUGGAUAAUGGCGAGGGAAACGUGACACCUUUACGGUGUGUUAUAGUCUCUCGUCGCAUGCAAGGGUCGGGAUUGAGGAACUCAGCACGCGCCUUUGGGCGUCGGGGCUUUGCCUACGAUACGUGCUUAGGAUGUUGGCGUAAUGGCUUUAAACGACC